rnacentral:misc_RNA from 1 species
GAUGAAGAACGUAGCGAAAUGCGAUAAGUAAUGUGAAUUGCAGAAUUCAGUGAACCAUCGAGUCUUUGAACGCACAUUGCGCCCGCCAGUAUUCUGGCGGGCAUGCCUGUUCGAGCGUCAUUUCAACCCUCAAGCCCCCGGGCUUGGUGUUGGGGAUCGGCACAAGGCGCUGGCACCCUCGGGAGCCCGCGCCCGCCGUCCCCCAAAUCCAGUGGCGGUCACGCCGUGUGUACCUCAGCGUAGUAGCAACACCUCGCUCCGGAACCCUUCUGUGAACCACGCCGUAAAACCCCCGACUUUUUUCUGGUUGACCUCGAAUCAGGUAGGACUACCCGCUGAACUUAAGCAUAUCAAUAAGCGGAGGA